rnacentral:rRNA from 1 species
UACGGGGGGGGCAAGCGUUGUUCGGAAUUACUGGGCGUAAAGGGCGCGUAGGCGGCCUGCUAAGUCGGACGUGAAACUCCCCGGCGUCAACCGGGAACUGCGUCCGAUACUGGUGGGCUACGAAUCCGGGAGAGGUGAGUGGAAUGCCGAGUGUAGCGGUGAAAUGCGUAGAUAUUGGGAGGAACACCAGCGGCGAAGGCGGCUACCUGGACCGGUAACUGACGCUGAG